rnacentral:rRNA from 1 species
GAUGAACCACUUCGGUGGGGAUUAGUGGCGAACGGGUGAGUAACACGUGGGCAAUCUGCCCUUCACUCUGGGACAAGCCCUGGAAACGGGGUCUAAUACCGGAUAUGAGCCUGGGAGGCAUCUCCCGGGUUGUAAAGCUCCGGCGGUGAAGGAUGAGCCCGCGGCCUAUCAGCUUGUUGGUGAGGUAAUGGCUCACCAAGGCGACGACGGGUAGCCGGCCUGAGAGGGCGACCGGCCACACUGGGACUGAGACACGGCCCAGACUCCUACGGGAGGCAGCAGUGGGGAAUAUUGCACAAUGGGCGAAAGCCUGAUGCAGCGACGCCGCGUGAGGGAUGACGGCCUUCGGGUUGUAAACCUCUUUCAGCAGGGAAGAAGCGAGAGUGACGGUACCUGCAGAAGAAGCGCCGGCUAACUACGUGCCAGCAGCCGCGGUAAUACGUAGGGCGCAAGCGUUGUCCGGAAUUAUUGGGCGUAAAGAGCUCGUAGGCGGCUUGUCACGUCGAUUGUGAAAGCCCGAGGCUUAACCUCGGGUCUGCAGUCGAUACGGGCUAGCUAGAGUGUGGUAGGGGAGAUCGGAAUUCCUGGUGUAGCGGUGAAAUGCGCAGAUAUCAGGAGGAACACCGGUGGCGAAGGCGGAUCUCUGGGCCAUUACUGACGCUGAGGAGCGA